rnacentral:rRNA from 1 species
CAAUAGCGUAUAUUAAAGUUGUUGCAGUUAAAAAGCUCGUAGUUGGAUUUGUGGCGUACGACGGGCUCCGGGCACUUGUUGUCUGAGUAGCUUGUCGUUGCCAUCCUUGGGUGGAACCUGUGUGGCAUUAGGUUGUCGUGCAGGGGAUGCCCAUCUUUUACUGUGAAAAAAUUAGAGUGUUCAAAGCAGGCUUAUGCCGUUGAAUAUAUUAGCAUGGAAUAAUAAGAUAGGACUUUGUCGCUAUUUUGUUGGUUUGCGCGAUAAGGUAAUGAUUAAUAGGGACAGUUGGGGGUAUUCGUAUUCCAUUGUCAGAGGUGAAAUUCUUGGAUUUUUGGAAGACGAACUACUGCGAAAGCAUUUACCAAGGAUGUUUNCAUUAA